rnacentral:misc_RNA from 1 species
CUGAGGUAUGCUCGGUGUCGUGUCACAGCGCGCCGGUUACCCGCCCUUAUGUCAUCUGUGCUGGGCCCAUUCCGUCUCCGGACGGGGUGGGACCAGGAACAUCACUUCGGUCGAGGUGUUGCGUCUCCCGUUCGCUCUGCGGGGGGAGGUGCGACCGCGGCCGGCCUUCUUUACACUCUUGUCUGGAAGAUGAAGUCUGAGGAUCGUGAGAAACGAAAAAAUUGAAGCA